rnacentral:rRNA from 1 species
UACGUAGGUGGCAAGCGUUGUCCGGAUUUAUUGGGUUUAAAGGGUGCGUAGGCGGCUUUGUAAGUCAGUGGUGAAAUAUGGCAGCUCAACUGUCAGGGUGCCAUUGAUACUGCGGAGCUUGAGUACAGAUGAGGUAGGCGGAAUUGACGGUGUAGCGGUGAAAUGCUUAGAUAUCGUCAAGAACACCGAUAGCGAAGGCAGCUUACUAGGCUGUAACUGACGCUGAGGCACGAAAGUGUGGGAGUCAAACAGG